GACGAACGCUGGCGGCGUGCCUAAUACAUGCAAGUUGAGCGCUGAAGGUUGGUACUUGUACCGACUGGAUGAGCAGCGAACGGGUGAGUAACGCGUGGGGAAUCUGCCUCUGAGCGGGGGACAACAUUUGGAAACGAAUGCUAAUACCGCAUAAUAACUUUAAACACAAGUUUUAAGUUUGAAAGAUGCAAUUGCAUCACUCAAAGAUGAUCCCGCGUUGUAUUAGCUAGUUGGUGAGGUAAAGGCUCACCAAGGCGAUGAUACAUAGCCGACCUGAGAGGGUGAUCGGCCACAUUGGGACUGGGACACGGCCCAAACUCCUACGGGAGGCAGCAGUAGGGAAUCUUCGGCAAUGGACGAAAGUCUGACCGAGCAACGCCGCGUGAGUGAAGAAGGGUUUCGGAUCGUAAAACUCUGUUGGUAGAGAAGAACGUUGGUGGGAGUGGAAAGCUCAUCAAGUGACGGUAACUACCCAGAAAGGGACGGCUAACUACGUG
rnacentral:rRNA from 1 species